rnacentral:lncRNA from 10 species
GCCAGGCAUGGUGGCUCAUGCCUGUAAUCCCAGCAACUUGGGAGGCUGAGACAGGAGAAUCGCUUGAACCUGGGAGGCGGAGGUUGCGGUGAGCCAAGAUAGCACCACUGCCCUCCAGACUGGGCAACAAGAGCGAAACUUAGUAUCAAAAGAAAAGAAAAAGAUAAAGAAAAAAAAAGUGCUAGAACUUUUUUUUUUUUGAGACGGAGUUUUGCUCUUGUUGCCCAGGCUGGAGUGCAGUGGCACGAUCUCGGCUCACUGCAACAUCUGCCUCCCAGGUUCAAGCAAUUCUUUU